rnacentral:RNase_P_RNA from 1 species
AGGAGAAGGUGGACGGCUCACGGGGCGUUAGCCCUGAGGAAAUACCCCCCUCCAUGGGCGAGCGGGACCACCGUAAGGGGUACCGCGAGAGCGGUGGCAAGGGCGCAGAAACGACACAGCCUCGGGUAAGAUGAUGAUUCCGUGCGCGGAUGAAGUUUCCCGAGGAUUUGAUGAGACGGCGACUCCCCCGCGGAGCAAGUCCAAACUGCCGGGAUGAGCACGCCCACGACCGGCGGGUAGGACGCUAAGUCGAAUGCCGUCGGAACAGAAGGGGGAUUACUACCUUCACCU